UACGAAGGGGGCUAGCGUUGCUCGGAAUCACUGGGCGUAAAGGGCGCGUAGGCGGCCAUUUAAGUCAGGGGUGAAAUCCCGGGGGCUCAACCUCGGAACUGCCUUUGAUACUGCGGGUCUUGAGUCCGAUAGAGGUGGGUGGAAUUCCUAGUGUAGAGGUGAAAUUCGUAGAUAUUAGGAAGAACACCAGUGGCGAAGGCGGCUCACUGGUCCGGUACUGACGCUGAGGUGCGAAAGCGUGGGGAGCAAACAGG
rnacentral:rRNA from 1 species